UAAUACGGAGGGUGCUAGCGUUGUUCGGAAUCACUGGGCGUAAAGCGCGCGCAGGCGGGACGUGCAAGUCGGAAGUGAAAUCUCGGGGCUCAACUCCGAGGCUGCUCCCGAUACUGCCGACCUGGAGACCAGUAGAGGUGGGUAGAAUUCCCGGUGUAGCGGUGGAAUGCGUAGAGAUCGGGAAGAAUACCUGUGGCGAAGGCGGCCCACUGGGCUGGAUCUGACGCUGAGGCGCGAAAGCGUGGGGAGCAAACAGGAUUAGAUACCCUGGUAGUCCACGCCGUAAACGAUGGGCACUAGGUGCUGGGGGGAACGACCCCUUCGGUGCCGCAGCUAACGCGAUAAGUGCCCCGCCUGGGGAGUACGGCCGCAAGGCUG
rnacentral:rRNA from 1 species